GCCGCGGUGGGCGUCGGGACGCUGCUGGUGGUGGCGGUGUGGCCGCGGUUGCGGGCCGCGGCGCGGCU
rnacentral:tRNA from 1 species